AGUUUGAUCCUGGCUCAGAACGAACGCUGGCGGCGCGCCUAAUACAUGCAAGUCGAGCGAGAAGGUGUAGCAAUACACUUGUAAAGCGGCGAACGGGUGAGGAAUGCAUGGGUAACCUACCCUCGAGUGGGGAGUAACUAGCCGAAAGGUUAGCUAAUACCGCAUACGUUUCCGGAACUUCGGUUUCGGAAAGAAAGCAAUACCGUGGGUAUUGCGCUCCUGGAUGGGCUCAUGUCCUAUCAGCUUGUUGGUGAGGUAACGGCUCACCAAGGCUUCGACGGGUAGCUGGUCUGAGAGGACGAUCAGCCACACUGGCACUGCGACACGGGCCAGACUCCUACGGGAGGCAGCAGUAAGGAAUAUUGCGCAAUGGACGAAAGUCUGACGCAGCGACGCCGCGUGGGGGAUGAAGGUCUUCGGAUUGUAAACCCCUUUCGGGAGGGAAGAUGGAGUGGGUAACCACUUGGACGGUACCUCCAGAAGCAGCCACGGCUAACUUCGUGCCAGCAGCCGCGGUAAUACGAAGGUGGCAAGCGUUGUUCGGAUUCACUGGGCGUACAGGGAGCGUAGGCGGUUGGGUAAGCCCUCCGUGAAAUCUCCGGGCCUAACCCGGAAAGUGCAGAGGGGACUGCUCAGCUAGAGGAUGGGAGAGGAGCGCGGAAUUCCCGGUGUAGCGGUGAAAUGCGUAGAGAUCGGGAGGAAGGCCGGUGGCGAAGGCGGCGCUCUGGAACAUUUCUGACGCUGAGGCUCGAAAGCGUGGGGAGCAAACAGGAUUAGAUACCCUGGUAGUCC
rnacentral:rRNA from 1 species